rnacentral:rRNA from 1 species
ACAGCAGUCGCCACGGUAACACAGAGGGUGCGAGCGUUAAUCGGAUUUACUGGGCGUAAAGCGUGCGUAGGCGGCUUCUUAAGUCGGAUGUGAAAUCCCUGAGCUUAACUUAGGAAUUGCAUUCGAUACUGGGAAGCUAGAGUAUGGGAGAGGAUGGUAGAAUUCCAGGUGUAGCGGUGAAAUGCGUAGAGAUCUGGAGGAAUACCGAUGGCGAAGGCAGCCAUCUGGCCUAAUACUGACGCUGAGGUACGAAAGCAUGGGGAGCAAACAGGAUUAGAUACCCCCGUAGUCCCUGUCUCUUAUAC